GACGUUUAAAAAGUGGCACGCUUGCUUGAAUGAUAAUAAAUAAUAUCAUACAAACAAAUCGAAGAAUUUUUAUUAUUAACUUGUGGAACUUGUGCGUGGUAUAAUAGUCAAGAACUACAUUCUAUUCCUUAUUUAAGACAAAAGGCAUCUCUAAAUAUGUCUGAUGAUUUUAUACCUUUAAACCAAAGCACGCCAGUUCAGGGGAAAUGGCAAAAUAGAAGUCAUAACAACCGAGGACACAAUCAAAAUCGUUUCCAGCAACACAAUCAACGGCGGGGUGGCCACAAUAACAGAUGGGGAAAUAACUCUCACAGGAGUAGCAGUUUUGGUAGUGACUCAAACAGCAGCUACGGACACGAUAAGAGUAACAUUGAAUCUUAUCUCCACCCAUCAAUGCUACAAGACCCUUGGGAACAUCUGAGACAAGCUAAGAAUUCGUCAUAACACUCAGACAAGGUACAUUAACUUAUUCCUUUUUGCUGGCCAAAGAUUUGAAUCAUUGGGUGCAUUUGGCUGAAAAAAACAUUUGGAAGCUAUGGCUAGCGCUGAUAAAAAACUAAUAACUAUGCAGUUGUCAGCAAGGACACAUUUGCUAACUUCAAUAGUGAUGAGUUUAAUUAAUUUUGUAACAGUGACAGUAACCGCUUAGCGAUAGCCAUUUUGCUUAUAAGCACUUCUGAGCGCUUUUUUCUGCCAAACGCACCCAUUGUGUUUUAAUUUGUACAAUCGGUAUGCCCUUGUGUGUAUGUGAUAUAGUACAGAUUUGUAUGUUUAUAGCGAAAAUCAUAUUUCCAUAUUUUACAGUACCUAGUGUUCAUCACACAUUUAAACUUUUUGUAAUAAUUUUGUAAAUAAAGUCCUGACUAGUGUACUACUUUGUGCAGCAAUCUUUUAAUGUACAAAGUACAACAAGGGUAUGUUUAAAUUUAAGACUGUUGUUAAUUAUAAUAGGCUAUUCAUGUCAUAACACACUGAAUUUUCAUGUUAUAGGUGCUUAAUUUGUAUGUAUGUAUGUUA